rnacentral:rRNA from 1 species
GAUGAACGCUGGCGGCGUGCCUAAUACAUGCAAGUCGAGCGAACAGAUGAGGAGCUUGCUCCUCUGACGUUAGCGGCGGACGGGUGAGUAACACGUGGAUAACCUACCUAUAAGACUGGGAUAACUUCGGGAAACCGGAGCUAAUACCGGAUAAUAUAUUGAACCGCAUGGUUCAAUAGUGAAAGACGGCUUUGCUGUCACUUUUAGAUGGUUCCGCGCCGCAUUAGCUAGUUGGUAAGGUAACGGCUUACCAAGGCAACGAUGCGUAGCCGACCUGAGAGGGUGAUCGGCCACACUGGAACUGAGACACGGUCCAGACUCCUACGGGAGGCAGCAGUAGGGAAUCUUCCGCAAUGGGCGAAAGCCUGACGGAGCAACGCCGCGUGAGUGAUGAAGGUCUUCGGAUCGUAAAGCUCUGUUAUUAGGGAAGAACAAAUGUGUAAGUAACUAUGCACGUCUUGACGGUACCUAAUCAGAAAGCCACGGCUAACUACGUG